AACGAACGCUGGCGGCGUGCCUAACACAUGCAAGUCGAACGGACUCAUUUUGAAGUAGCAAUACGGAAAGAUGAGUUAGUGGCGGACGGGUGAGUAACACGUAAGAACCUACCUUUUGGAGAGGGACAACCACUGGAAACGGUGGCUAAUACCUCAUAUUGCUGAGAAGUGAAAUGAUGAAUAAUCGCCAAGAGAUGGGCUUGCGUCUGAUUAGCUAGUUGGUGGGGUAAUGGCUUACCAAGGCGAUGAUCAGUAGCUGGUCUGAGAGGAUGAUCAGCCACACUGGGACUGAGACACGGCCCAGACUCCUACGGGAGGCAG
rnacentral:rRNA from 1 species